rnacentral:rRNA from 1 species
GACGAACCGUGCGAACGUUAUUCGGAAUCACUGGGCUUAAAGCGCGUGUAGGCGGCCCGCCACGUCCGAUCGCUGAAAGCCCCCGGCUCAACCGGGGAACGGGCGCGGAAACGAGCGGGCUCGAGGGGGGUAGGGGGAUCGGGAACUUCCGGUGGAGCGGUGAAAUGCGUUGAGAUCGGAAGGAACGCCCGUGGCGAAAGCGCGGUCCUGGACCCCGCCUGACGCUGAGACGCGAAAGCCAGGGGAGCGAACGGG